CUUCGGAAAGUCCGAAGGUGUUCAAAUGAGUAAAAGUGCAUUGUGGGAGGUUUUCGAGAGCUGAAGAAUCAAAAAUCUGCAUUCUGCAGGUUUUGAGCUCUCGGAACCAGUCCCUGGUGGGAGAGACCGGUCCCCGAACGCGUGAAAAAUGAGAAGGCUGAAAAAUCGGCUAAGUCCCAGAAAACCAGCUCUCGGGAACCGGUCCCUGCGGGGAGAGACCGGUCCCCGAGAGACCGGUCCCUCUGGGAGAGACCGGUUGCAUUGCGCGGGGGCCCUGGCUACCCGCGGGGAGAGCUCUCUGGGACCGGUCCCAGGUCGGGGAGACCGGUCCCCGAGCACGAAAUCUGCCCAGUUCU
rnacentral:lncRNA from 1 species